AGAGGCCAGAAACCUGGAAACUUGAUACUACUGGACAAGAGAAUGGGGCAUAUUGAAAAUGAUAAGAGAAACAAGGCCUUCGAAGAAGGAAACUGUAGAAAUGCGAGAUGAACCAUCCAGUCUCUUUCUUGGAGCAUCAAAGCUUGGCUGCUGAAAUUCUGGAGCUGAUGGCAGAGAGAUUAGUGGUCUCAACAUUCAGUCUUCUGGGGACCAAGGAAGGAAGCAGAGAUGAUCAUAUCGUUGGCUGUGUGUUGGAGCUGAGAAGUGCAGGGUGAGG